AGUGAACGCUGGCGGUAGGCCUAACACAUGCAAGUCGAACGGCAGCACAGGAGAGCUUGCUCUCUGGGUGGCGAGUGGCGGACGGGUGAGGAAUACAUCGGAAUCUACUCUGUCGUGGGGGAUAACGUAGGGAAACUUACGCUAAUACCGCAUACGACCUACGGGUGAAAGCAGGGGACCUUCGGGCCUUGCGCGAUUGAAUGAGUCGAUGUCGGAUUAGCUAGUUGGCGGGGUAAAGGCCCACCAAGGCGCAGAUCCGUAGCUGGUCUGAGAGCAAGAUCAGCCACACGCGAACUGAGACACGGUCCAGACUCCUACGGGCGGCAGCAGUGGGGGAUAUUGGACAAUAGGCGCCAGCCUGAUCCAGCCAUACCUCGUGGGUGAAGAAGGCCUUCGGGUUGUAAAGCCCUGUUGUUGGGAAAGAAAUCCAGCUGGCUAAUACCCGGUUGGGAUGACGGUACCCAAAGAAUAAGCACCGGCUAACUUCGUGCCAGCCGCCGCCGUAA
rnacentral:rRNA from 1 species